AAAUCAAAGGUUGCAGUCCUAUACAAAAUAUUCAAGAAAUCUUCUUCGCUAUAGGAGAAUGGAGUCUAGAAACUAAGGGUAAAAUCUAAUACAAUUUAGUACUUUUCUUCAUAAAAAAACUGUUGUCACCGAAUUAUUUUUUCAUGAACAAACUUCACUGCUGUGACAUUCCAUGGGAAUGAAUCAAUGUGAA